UGGACAAUGGAGGCAACUCUGAUCCAGCCAUGCCGCGUGAAGGAAUAAGGCCCUAUGGGUUGUAAACUUCUUUUAGACGGGACAAAACCCCUUUACGUGCACAGGGUUGAUGGUACUGUCAGAAUAAGCAUCGGCUAACUUCGUGCCAGCAGCCGCGGUAAUACGAAGGAUGCAAGCGUUAUCCGGAAUUAUUGGGUUUAACGGGUGCGUAGGCGGACAAAAAAGUCAGUGGUGAAAUCCUACAGCUUAACUGUAGUACUGCCUUUGAUACUUUUAUUCUGGAGUUCUUGAGAGNAAGGAGGAGUUCCAGGUGUAGUGGUGAAAUACUUAGAUAUCUGGAAGAACACCAGUUGCGAAGGCGGUCUCUUGGUCCGACACUGACGCUGAGGCGCGA
rnacentral:rRNA from 1 species